UACGUAGGGUGCGAGCGUUGUCCGGAAUUAUUGGGCGUAAAGAGCUCGUAGGCGGCUUGUCGCGUCGGAUGUGAAAGCCCGGGGCUUAACCCCGGGUCUGCAUUCGAUACGGGCAGGCUAGAGUUCGGUAGGGGAGAUCGGAAUUCCUGGUGUGAGCGGUGAAAUGCGCAGAUAUCAGGAGGAACACCGGUGGCGAAGGCGGGACUCUGGGCCGAUACUGACGCUGAGGAGCGAAAGCGUGGGGAGCAAACAGG
rnacentral:rRNA from 1 species